AGUGACAAGAUCUCACUGUGUUGCCCUAGCUGGUCUUGAACUCCUGCACUCAAGUGAUCCUCCCGCCGCGGCCUCCCAAAGUGCUGGGAUUACAGAUGUGAGCCGCCACGCCCAGCCUGCGUGGGUGUUUCUACAAAAUCAAAGCUGACUUCACGAGACCGCGGAUCUCAUUCGCUGAUCGACGCUGCAUAUUCAGCAUCUUGGAGAAUGAGGUUCGUGUAGUUAAUGAAAUCUCACCCAGCAGGGCCAACCCACAGAGAGCCUCUUUGUGAAGAGCGUGCUCCUGAACUCCGCUCCAGAACCAGCUUUGGAAAAGAAAAAUCUGAAAAAAUUGACCUCAACUAAACUGGUCCAAAUCCAUGA